UUCGCUUAGUUGAUUAGACUGUAUGGUGCAUGACUGAUCAGAUUUAUGCAUUGCAUUCGCUUAUUUUGCAAUUUUGAAGACCGAAUUAGCCUUCGCUUAGUUGGCUGAUUCGUGUCGGAUUUGGAUUAGAGUAGUAUGUACUUGUUGUUGAUAUGUGAUUGGAAGCAUGGCAAUUGAGUUAAUGACUGACCGUUUUAAUUCUGUAUUUGAUUCCAUUUUUACAUAUGUUUUUGCAUUUUUGUUGCAUCCGUGUUUUAAUUUAGUUUAUCCGCAUUUAUAAUCAUCUCACAAACCCCCCA
rnacentral:lncRNA from 1 species